rnacentral:rRNA from 1 species
UACGUAGGGGGCUAGCGUUGUCCGGAAUCAUUGGGCGUAAAGAGCGCGUAGGCGGCCAGAUAAGUCCGGUGUGAAAGUCACAGGCUCAACCUGUGAAUGCCGCUGGAAACUGUCUGGCUAGAGUCCGGGAGGGGCGAGUGGAAUUCCUGGUGUAGCGGUGGAAUGCGCAGAUAUCAGGAGGAACACCAAUAGCGAAGGCAGCUCGCUGGGACGGUAUUGACGCUAAGGCGCGAAAGCGUGGGGAGCAAACAGG